CUAGUGGUUAGAGUGUAGAGGUGGCAGGGUAGCCUAGUGGUUAGAGUGGAGAGGCGGCAGGUAGCCUAGUGGUUAGAGUGUAGAGGUGGCAGGGUAGCCUAGUGGUUAGAGUGUAGAGGUGGCAGGGUAGCCUAGUGGUUAGAGUGUAGAGGUGGCAGGGUAGCCUAGUGGUUAGAGUGUAGAGGCGGCAGGGUAGCCUAGUGGUUAGAGUGUAGAGGUGGCAGGGUAGCCUAGUGGUUAGAGUGUAGAGGCGGCAGGGUAGCCUAGUGGUUAGAGUGUAGAGGUGGCAGGGUAGCCUAGUGGUUAGAGUGUAGAGGCGGCAGGGUAGCCUAGUGGUUAGAGUGUAGAGGUGGCAGGGUAGCCUAGUGGUUAGAGUGUAGAGGUGGCAGGGUAGCCUAGUGGUUAGAGUGUAGAGGCGGCAGGGUAGCCUAGUGGUUAGAGUGUAGAGGUGGCAGGGUAGCCUAGUGGUUAGAGUGGAGAGGUGGCAGGGUAGCCUAGUGGUUAGAGUGUAGAGGUGGCAGGGUAGCCUAGUGGUUAGAGUGGAGAGGUGGCAGGGUAGCCUAGUGGUUAGAGUGGAGAGGUGGCAGGGUAGCCUAGUGGUUAGAGUGUAGAGGUGGCAGGGUAGCCUAGUGGUUAGAGUGUAGAGGUGGCAGGGUAGCCUAGUGGUUAGAGUGGAGAGGUGGCAGGGUAGCCUAGUGGUUAGAGUGUAGAGGUGGCAGGGUAGCCUAGUGGUUAGAGUGGAGGGGCGGCAGGGUAGCCUAGUGGUUAGAGUGUAGAGGUGGCAGGGUAGCCUAGUGGUUAGAGUGUAGAGGUGGCAGGGUAGCCUAGUGGUUAGAGUGGAGAGGUGGCAGGGUAGCCUAGUGGUUAGAGUGUAGAGGCGGCAGGGUAGCCUAGUGGUUAGAGUGUAGAGGUGGCAGGGUAGCCUAGUGGUUAGAGUGGAGGGGCGGCAGGGUAGCCUAGUGGUUAGAGUGUAGAGGUGGCAGGGUAGCCUAGUGGUUAGAGUGGAGGGGCGGCAGGUAGCCUAGUGGUUAGAGUGGAGGGGCGGCAGGUAGCCUAGUGGUUAGAGUGUAGAGGUGGCAGGGUAGCCUAGUGGUUAGAGUGUAGAGGUGGCAGGGUAGCCUAGUGGUUAGAGUGUAGAGGUGGCAGGGUAGCCUAGUGGUUAGAGUGUAGAGGUGGCAGGGUAGCCUAGUGGUUAGAGUGUAGAGGUGGCAGGGUAGCCUAGUGGUUAGAGUGGAGGGGCGGCAGGUAGCCUAGUGGUUAGAGUGUAGAGGCGGCAGGGUUUAAAGGGUUGGCGCUGUGGGGCUAUAAUGGACUUGUAAUGGCAAUGGGGCGGCAGGGUAGCCUAGUGGUUAGAGCAUUGGACUAGUAACCGGAAGGUUGCAAGUUCAAACCCCCGAGCAAAUCUGUCGUUCUGCCCCUGAACAGGCAGUUAACCCAC